GAUGAACGCUGGCGGCGUGCCUAAUACAUGCAAGUCGAGCGAACGGACGAGAAGCUUGCUUCUCUGAUGUUAGCGGCGGACGGGUGAGUAACACGUGGAUAACCUACCUAUAAGACUGGGAUAACUUCGGGAAACCGGAGCUAAUACCGGAUGAUAUUUUGAACCGCAUGGUUCAAAAGUGAGAGACGGUCUUGCUGUCACUUAUAGAUGGAUCCGCGCUGCAUUAGCUAGUUGGUAAGGUAACGGCUUACCAAGGCAACGAUGCAUAGCCGACCUGAGAGGGUGAUCGGCCACACUGGAACUGAGACACGGUCCAGACUCCUACGGGAGGCAGCAGUAGGGAAUCUUCCGCAAUGGGCGAAAGCCUGACGGAGCAACGCCGCGUGAGUGAUGAAGGUCUUCGGAUCGUAAAACUCUGUUAUUAGGGAAGAACAUAUGUGUAAGUAACUGUGCACAUCUUGACGGUACCUAAUCAGAAAGCCACGGCUAACUACGUG
rnacentral:rRNA from 1 species